GCAUUUUUUCUCCCCUCUCUUCUCUCUUUUCUCUCCCCAAGAUCCGGCGCCCGUGCUAUCGGAAGCGGUCCACCCGGCGGCCGCGCCCCAGGUGCCGGUUGCGCCCCGCCCCGAGGCCGCGCCCAGGGGCCGGCGGCGAACCGCCCCGAGGCCGCGCCCGAGGGCACCGGCGGCUGCCCGCCCCGAGGCCGCGCCCAGGGGGCCGGCGGCGAACCGCCCCGAGGACGCGCUCGAGGGCGCCGGCGGCGGCCCGCCCCGUGGCCGCGCCCAGGGGACCGGCGGCGAACCGUCCCGAGGCCUUGCCCGAGGGCACCGGCGGCUGCCCGCCCGGCGGCCGCGCCCUAGGGGCCCGACGGCGACCCGCCAGUUAGCCGCGCCCUGGGGGCCCGCGAGACCGCAGCGUCGCGCUCCUACGGGAGGGGAUGGCCGCCGAAGCGUACGAGAUCGUUGGACGCCAUCGAGUAGGCGUUCGACAAAAUGCUCCUGCGGGGGCUCGUGCCGAGCGUGAGCAUUUAGAUGUCGGAAGUCCAAGCAUUUUCCCAUCUUGCACCCAAGUUUGGAGACCAUGAUUGAUUUCUCCUCCUCUGCAGUUCCUCAAUCUACAAUGAAUUGAAAUGUCAAAGGAGAUUAAAAUGCUCUGUCGUGGAUCAGCCGAUUUGAUGCAGCGCAAAUUCAGAUUGUGAUGGCGGGUUAAAUGGGUCAUGCACACAGGUCAAAUUCAGACUGAUGCCCUAGCUCAAGCUGGGCUUGAAUCGUUGAAUCUUAUUGUCGGCAUUGGUUUCACAAAGAGCAAUGAGUGGACAAGUUAGCGCUUAUGGUCUUAUGGACUAUUUGUUUGUUUUAUUGCUUAAUGCAAUAGUUCAGUGCAAUGCCUCGCUUAGCGAUGCUAAUGAUUUAUUUUCCAUUAUCAGCGAAAUUCUCCUUCCAUGGAUGUAGUUUACACACAUUAGCACCAAUUAUUGAGAUGGCUAUGACCAUUGGGGAGCAAAGUGGUGGCCAUUACCAUGUUCUAUUGAUAAUUGCUGAUGGCCAAUACUUGUUGCGUGUCAGGUGAAUUUUAAUUCACAGAAGUAAACGAACUCAAAUAAAGGACUGAUAAAAAAAAUAGAUUACAUGACCAGAUUAUUUGCCAAUAAAUUCGAGGUCAGAUGCCCUACUUCAAUGACCUAUAUCGUCAUGCAACUUAUUUAUGUACAAUUUAGUUUUAUUUAUUAGGGCACUAAGAACCUGACAUUGUUUUGGCAAUCUGGUAGGGAACCAAUUUAUCAGUGCAUAAAAUAACAUGGUCAUGAAGAAGCCGAGGAUAGCAAAAAUUAUGAAUUCAUAAUCUGUGUCUUUAAGAUUUUAGCUGCGGCCAUCAUCACUAAAGAACUGAUGGUAUUUUGCUCAGCGCAGAGACACGAUGAGGGCUCUAUCCUGUUGAUGCGGUGAGUACUGUGGGCAGAAUAUGUGCAGAAACUAGACUGUGUAUAACCAGCCACUUAAAUUCAAGAAAGUAAUGUGGCAUGUUGGUCACCCGAUGCCCCAUGAGGAAUCUGUGGCAUCAGCAGCGGUUGGUUCUGCGAUUAAAGUAAAAGCUGCUGCAAUUGUUGUGUUCAGGGAGAGUUGUUAGGUGCCCUAUAUUUACUCUGAGAUCAGCACCUCUCUAGAUAAGUUCACAUCAUAUGAAGCAAUCGAAUUAUUUCAUGCUUAUUGUUGUGCAGGUUAGCUUCUAAGUACAGGCUGAUAAUGCCAGUUUUAGCAAUUAUCUUCCCGCGUGAAGGGUCUGAUCCAUCAAAGUGGCGUUAAUAUGAAACCACUUACAUAGUAUUUUUCUUCACCAUGAAGCAGGAUCUGCAUACUUUUGUUUGACCAUUUUUGAAUCACUUUCAGGCAAGGCAAUGUUUUGCAGUGAGAGGCGUGUACCCUUAGAUGGGGAAUACUGAUGAGAUAUGUAUUAAGUAGUUAUUGUUAACGUUAGAGCUACGUGUAAAAAAUACAUAGAACUUACCAGGUCAGUUUAAACUCUUUAUCAGGAUGAAACUGGUGGGCUCACAAAGGAAGAUUAUGGGAUAAAACUGGCACUGAACCAUGGUUGGUCAGUGGGCAUAGUGAAGGCGUUCGGUCAGUGGACUUUACGACAAUUGUUGCUUAGGUCCUUGGCGCUUCCUUUUACAGUGUUAGAAUGGACACUGCCAGCUGCACCUCGGCCAGGUCAAAAUGCAUCAUCAAAGCAGUCGUCAACCUCCAAGGAGCGAUCAUCAAGUGCAGUUUUCAACUAGCAAAAUUAUAUAAACAGAAUAGAUUGCCUUAAUCCUUUUUUUUUUUGAAACUGUCUUAUUGAAGAGAAAUUCUGAACUCUAUAAUGUUAGAUGACAGAAUCUAUUCUUGUUUGCAGAGGUGGCUGGUGCAGAAAAUUCUGAUGAAAAAUGUGAAAGUUUUGCUUUUGCAUUAGUCAAUGGUGCUCUUGGUGUGUUUGAAGUUCAUGGGCGGCGGAUACGAGAUUUUAGGAAUUUCAGUUGCUGUUUUUGUAGCUUUCAACUACUAAAGUAGAAUAAAAUGCAGAUUUGGUGAAAAUGCAUAUUUCUUCCAUGCAUGUGAUGUUAGUUCCAGUUAAUUUAUCAACAUAUCUCAUUCACAUCUAAACUAAAACACAGUCAAUGUGUGGAAUUGUAUAGAUGGAUUUGUAAGAGAAGAGAUGCAAGCUAUUUGCUCGGGCUCCUGAUCUUA